rnacentral:rRNA from 1 species
AAUAGAUACCCGGGUAGUCCACGCCGUAAACGAUGAGUGCUAAGUGUUAGAGGGUUUCCGCCCUUUAGUGCUGCAGCUAACGCAUUAAGCACUCCGCCUGGGGAGUACGGUCGCAAGACUGAAACUCAAAGGAAUUGACGGGGGCCCGCACAAGCGGUGGAGCAUGUGGUUUAAUUCGAAGCAACGCGAAGAACCUUACCAGGUCUUGACAUCCUCUGACAACUCUAGAGAUAGAGCGUUCCCCCUUCGGGGGACAGAGUGACAGGUGGUGCAUGGUUGUCGUCAGCUCGUGUCGUGAGAUGUUGGGUUAAGUCCCGCAACGAGCGCAACCCUUGAUCUUAGUUGCCAGCAUUUAGUUGGGCACUCUAAGGUGACUGCCGGUGACAAACCGGAGGAAGGUGGGGAUGACGUCAAAUCAUCAUGCCCCUUAUGACCUGGGCUACACACGUGCUACAAUGGAUGGUACAAAGGGCUGCAAGACCGCGAGGUCAAGCCAAUCCCAUAAAACCAUUCUCAGUUCGGAUUGUAGG